GCCCCGCCCACCGCUGAUCCCCAGUGGCCCGAGGGCGCGGCCGCACCCUCUCUCCCGGCUCGCGGGCCCUUUCCCACCACAGACCCCGCCCCGCGCCCUACCCGUCACGCGUCCAAGGUCCAGCCCCGGGUCCCGGGGCUCCGGUGCCCACCAGUCCCCAGCAGGCCCCGCCCCCGUGCGGUCCCUCCCGGAAGCGCCGGCGGAGCGUCCUCACAUGGAGCGCGAGCCCAGCGCUUCGGAGGCCGCCCCCGCGGCGGCCGCGCUCUUCGCCUGGGGUGCAAAUAGCUAUGGGCAACUUGGCCUCGGCCAUAAGGAAGAUGUGCUGUUGCCCCAGCAACUGAAUGACUUCUGUAAACCCAGGAGUGUCAGGAGGAUCACAGGAGGAGGGGGCCACUCUGCAGUUGUCACAGAUGGAGGAGACCUCUUUGUUUGUGGCCUGAACAAAGAUGGGCAACUGGGGCUUGGUCACACAGAGGAUAUCCCAUAUUUUACCCCCUGCAAAUCCCUCUUUGGCUGUCCCAUCCAACAGGUGGCCUGUGGCUGGGAUUUUACCAUUAUACUCACAAAAAAUGGUCAAGUUCUAUCAUGUGGAUCCAACUACUUUGGCCAGUUAGGAGUUCCUCAUGGACCUCAAAGAUGUGUGGUUCCCCAGGCCAUUGAGCUCCAUAAAGAGAAGGUUGUUUGUAUUGCUGCUGGACUGAGACAUGCAUUAGCUGCUACAGCGAGUGGCAUCGUGUUCCAGUGGGGGACUGGUUUGGCAUCAUGUGGACGACGGUUGUGCCGUGGGCAGUCUCUUCCGUUGUUUUUCACAGCAAAGGAACCAAGCAGAGUGACAGGUCUAGAGAAUUCUAAAGCAAUGUGUGUUCUUGCUGGCUCAGACCACUCAGCUUCAUUAACAGAUGCAGGAGAGGUGUAUGUUUGGGGAAGCAACAAGCAUGGGCAACUGGCUACUGAGGCUGCUUUCCUUCCUGUGCCCCAGAAAAUAGAAGCACAUUGUUUCCAGAAUGAAAAGGUCACUGCCAUCUGGAGUGGGUGGACACACCUGGUUGCUCAGACAGAAACUGGCAAGAUGUUUACCUGGGGCCGAGCAGACUAUGGUCAACUAGGGAGGAAGUUGGAGACGUAUGAAGGCUGGAAACUGGAAAAGCAAGAUUCAUUUCUUCCCUGUUCAAGACCACCGAACAGCACGCCUUCAUCUCUGCAUUGCUUAACUGGAGCAACUGAGGUCUCUUGUGGCUCAGAGCAUAAUUUGGCAGUAAUUGUAUCUCUGCACGGUAAGUAUUAUUAUCCCAGUUUUGCUGAUGUGGAAAUGGAGUUGCAGAGAAAUUAAGAGAUAUACCCAAGAUCACACCGUUCAUGUGUCGUGGAGCCAUAUUUUGAAUCCUGUGAGAGACUUCAGUGCCAAUGAUCAGAUGACCCGACCAUCAAACCAUGCUGGAGCCCCAGGGCCAAUGGCCUGAGAGUAGAAGAAGGAGUAGGUUUUGAUAGCUGAGCCCCCAAAGGUGAAUCAAAUUUAACUUUGUUAUGCUAAGGCUAUAAAAAAAAAAUGAACAUGAAGAAGUUGAAGCAGAGCAUGUAGAGUUUGCUGACAGAGUUCUCGAACAACCAGUUACAGAGGCAAACCACAGUGAAACAACAGAAGAAGGGAACCUGGUGGAGAUGGCUGCUAAGAAGUUGCUCCAUGAACUCAGAGGACCUAUAGAAGGGCCUACCUACACUCAUUGUCUUAGAGCAGCCUUGCUAACCCACGGGCAGUGAGCUACAUGUGGCCCAGGACAGCUUUGAAUGCAGCCCAACACAAAUUUGUAAACUUUCUUAAAACAUGAGGGGUUUUUUGUUUUGUUUUUGUUUUUUUUUUUUUUUAGCUCAUUAGCCGUUGUUAGCGUACUUUUUGUGUGACCCAAUUCUUCUUCCAGUGUGGCCCAGGGACGCCAAAAGAUUGGACACCUCUGGCUUAGAGCCUCUCUAUACCUCUGGCCCAUGUCUGUCUUCUACAUGUAGCCAAUGAAAGAAAUCUAAAGCUGGAAGGGCAGGGGACGUUUCUGAUGCUCUUGUGAGGCAGAGGGAUUGAGAUCACUGCAGAGAAGCUGGCAACAGGAGGCCCAUCAUUUUUUCAGUGGCCAGGACAUCUCCAUUCUGGGUGGAGGAAGACGCAAGGCUUUGGCAAAUAGUAAAAUGCUUGUUUGUCUAUUGCACUUUCUUUAUGUCCAUCACAGUCUGGGAAUCAGUACCUUGAAGCACUAUCCUUGAUUAAUUUAUAAUUUUCUGCCCUAUACUGACUGCCUAGGAAAGAGGUGGUCAGAGGUAUGAGAGGGUGAAAAUACUGUUCUUGAUUAUGAAAACCUAUAUCCAUUCGGUGUAUCCAUGGAUAAUUUUAGUUGUCUAAGUUGAUUUGUUAUUUUCCAUGCUUUAUUUUUAUAAAAAGUCAUUUUUCAGUAGACAUAUAACAUUGUCAAGAACUACCUAAUCCAUGUACAUAAAAUGUCAUGUGAAUGUAUAAAUAUAUAUAAUGUAUAAAAAUAAAAUUAUUCUAAUUUUUAAAAAAUGACUAGAGUUCAUUUGACUGUGAAUUGGAUGCCUGAGUCUGAAGUAUUGAUUCCUGUGUGCCCUUGAGCUAGUCACUUCCCCUUUCUGCCCCUCUGUUCUCAUAACUAUAAAGUGAAAGGUCUAGAUCAGUGGUUUUAGUCACCUGGCCUAUUCUAUCAAAUCACUUGGGAUAAUUGUUAAACGUAUACAUUCCUGGGCCCACUUCCAGAUCAAUAGAUUUGGGAAUUGGGUGCUUAGAAAUUUUUAGUUCUGAUAGUCCUCCAGGUAAUUAAUUCCAGGUGAUGUAGCCAGGUUUUGAGUAGUUGUCUUCCUUGAACCCCUCUGGUUCUAAUGUUUUAGGAUCCUUUGCCUUCUUUCUCUCUUGCUCAGUUUCCCAUUGUUCCCUUUUCCUUUUUUCCCUAGAGCGCUCCUCUCACUAGACUGUGAACCUCUGAGGAGGAGGGGCUAUAUCUUACCCAUCUCUUUAUCUCCGUCCUCCAGCGCAAUGUCUGACACACUGGUAGUGCUCAGUGAGCAGUGGGUGCAAUGAAGGGAAGGAGGGAAUGAAUGGGCUCUCAUGGCUUUAUACCACCUAUACACAUCCAAGUAAUGUCCUUAAUUUUUCCUGCAUCCUCAGUCAUUAUAGAUUUCUUCAGAACGGUAAAUGGAAAGACCACAGACUUUGGAAUCUAAGAAAACUGGAUUUGAAUCUCAACUCUUUCUCUUACUGUGUAGUGGUUUCUCCCAAGUCAUUUAAUCUCUUUAAACUACAGUUUCCUUGAUUGUAAAAUAAGGAGAAUGGCACCUGUUGCUUGAGAUUGUUGUUAGGAUUGACUUACUACAUGAAAAUAUGGAUGCAGAGUGCUUGACAUACAGUAGGAACUCAAGUAUCUCAGCUUCUUUUCUUCCUUUACAUGCCCAGUGGUGAGUGACAGUAAAAGGAGGGAGGAAGACUCAGAAGAAUAGAUCAACCCCAAGCCAGGCCACAGAGGAUGACAAUAUGGUUCAUUGUCAUCUCCUGACUUCCUGCGACACUGAGGUUCUGACUGAGGCCCAGGCAUCUUGGUGGAUCCCCACUUGCUCAACCCUGGGCACAUCAGAAUUCAGACUUAGAAUCUCCUGACUUUAAGUGUGGCAUGUUCUCUCUGUUUCUGUGAGCUACAGGAGAUAGAAAGAGAAGUAACAAAAGAAAUUCAAGGAACUGUUGUAGGUUGGGGAUCCUUAUGCAGGCUUGAUGUCUGGGCUUGCUGUGAGAAACUCAAGUUCAUUUCCAAUGGUUGGUUCUCAGGGCUAAAAAUCUGUGCAUUGGCUUCGUUAGCAUAUCAACUCCUCUCUUCACACACUCUGUGUUGGAACUGCCACGGCAUGCAGCUUUUCAUAAAAGUCUCUCUUUCAAACCAAGUUCAGCUGUUUCAGUCCUAGAAGGCAGCCAGAUUAGUUCUCUUCUGGGCAAAAUGGUAAAUGCUUAUCACUCCCCACAAUGCCUCCAGCACCACAGAAAUAACAGCCACCCUUUACUGAGUGCCUACUAUGCUUGAGUCCUUUGACAUCACUAUGAGUGGUUAUUAUUAGCUCAUUUUGUAGGGCAGUAGGUUAUGAUUAAGACUGUAGACUUUUAAGUUUGACCAAGGUUCAAAUCCUGGCCCCACCAUAUUUUAGCAAAUCCUUUCUGAGUUUCUGUUUCUUAUUAGCAAAAAAUGGCUAGUAAUGUAUACCUCAUAGUACUGAAAGGAUUAACUGAAUGCCACAUGCAUGGUACUUGGUACCACACCUAAUGCAUGGUAAGUAAAUCCUCAAUAAAUGUAACUGUGGUAAUGAUGGAAAUGCUGUGGUCUCUUCAUCUAUAGAAGAUGGUUCACUGUAGUGGAUACCAGAGAGAUGAGGAGAGGCGGCAAAAAUAUCAACAGUUUCUGUUAGUCUAAGCCAGAAAUGGAGAACCUCAGAAAUACUAUUAGAAAGGGACCUGGUAUGAUUGCUUGGAAUAAACUCAGUGAAUAGCUGCAGUUUAUUAUUCACUCAGCAGGUUUUUAUUGACUACCUACUAUGUUUCAGGCCUUGUGCCAAAAGCUGGAGAUACUAUGAUGAUAAAACAGACAUGAUCCCUUGCCCUCAAGGAGCUUAAGUCUUAUGGAAGGACUCAGAUACUGUUAAAAAAAAAUUGCACCAGUCAUGUAAAAUUACAGACUAGGAUAAAUGCUACAAAAGAAAGGGACAAGGUACUAUGAUAAUGUAUGAUAGGGGUCCUCACCUACUUCGCAUGAUCAAGGAUAGCUUUGCUGAGGAAUUGACAUCUGAGCUGAGAUCUGAAGGAUCACUAGGAGUUAUAAUCAGAUGAAAGGAGUGGGUAGGGUGGGGAGAAAGCUUUCUAGGCAUAUGGACAAAUGUGGCCCCCAUAGUGAGAGGCAGCUUAGCACUUUCAAAGAAGUGAGAAGGUCAAUAUGAUUUGAGUACAGAGAAAAGGCUGGAGGGGGAGAUUAGGGCCUUGCAGGUCAUGUGAAGAGUUUUUUUUCUUUUUAUUCUAAGCUCAUAGGAAUCAUAGAAGGAUUUGAAGCAGAGGUGGUUAUGUGUAUGUUACUCGUGGGGAGGGUUAUGCUCAAUUUGACAUUUACAAGAGAUCUUUCCAACAAUGGCCUUGAGAAUAGAUGGAGGGUGCAAAAGUGGAUGUGGCAAAACCAGUUAAGGAGGCUUUUGCAAUGGUCCCAGUAAGAAAUCAUGCUGGAUAGAGUUAGAGAAGUAACAGUGGAGAUGAGAAGAACAACAUGGUUUGAGAUAUUUAGCAGGUAAAAUUAGCAGGACUUGAUGAUGGAUUGAAUGUAGCCGUGAGGAAAAGAAAGAUGUGAAGCACAAGCCCCAGGUUUCUAGGUGCAUAAGUGGGAAUGGUCCUGCCAUUCGCUAAGCUAAAAAUAAAACUUAGAAGGUGACCAGGUUUGGAUAGGAAGAUCUGAACUGAAUUUAAACACACUGCACUAGAGGUGCCUUUUAGACAUCCGGGUAUGGAUAUUCCAUGCCCAUGGCCACCAAGGGUAGGCCACAAUGGCCUUAGGAUGCCCCAAGCCAUCUGACCCAGAUCCAGCCUCUCUGGGAGUCAGCCUUGUUUGGUAGCUGGCCUGAAGACUCGUGGUUUGCUUCCCACCCUUGUGGUUCUGUUUCCUUACCAGAGUAUUCUGAAAAGGGAGAAUUCAGCCUAAGAAGGAAUAAGAACAGUCUGGGGAGAGACUCUGCUGCUUUAGGGGAAACAACUUAGAUAUUGAUGCAUGUUGUUUGAGAUGUUUUUCCAAAUCUGUGAUUGAUAUAUUUGUGUUUGACAUGUGUGCUUUUGUUUAUUAAAAUAUUUGCUAUUAAUAUAUAUCUACUAUAUGGUAGACACAAUAUCAAGUCAGAAAGGACCCGUGGUACUUCAGAAGCGACAGCCCCGGAACCCAUCUGGCUUUGCUGUUCUUAUGAUCUUAGAGAAUACUAAAUCUCUAGGAUGCUGAGCUGCUGACUUUUCAUCAAGGGAACCUGUCCUUGAGUUCAGGGGGUUGGCUUGUCAGGGGCUUCCUCUGCAGCUGCAGCUCUUCAGCCUGUCUUUGGGGGCCUCUCUUCUGCAGUCUCCCUAGACAGUAACUACAUCAGUUCUCCACUUUGAACAGGGCUCAGCUGGGCACUGUGAGCCGCCCCGCCUUACCACUGCUAUGUGUUCUGGUUUGUUGCCUGAAAGCAACUCUUUGUGUCCAGGUUAGCAGGUGAGGGUGAGAGAAGUGUCAGAGGAGGUUUCGUGUCCUUCUGUAGAACAGCAGAGGAGAGCUGGACUGGCGGGCAGGAAGGGGGGUGGUGGGCAGAGGUGUGACUCAUCCAGCCCUGGCACCAUGUGAUAGGAUCUGUGAAUACCCAUGUGAAAUAGAUACAUGCUUUAAGAACAUUUGCCUUGUGAAGAUCUAAACUCACAAGCCACAUGAAUUUGGAACCGUGAUUACCAUCACAAAAGGGAGCUGGUAUCCUUUAAAAUAUCCUGUAGUAUAUCUAACAUACAAUGCAGUGAGGGACGAAAUAUUUAUGCCAGUUUAGGCACUCAGGGGAAGCUGGCAUUCUCUAUGUCAGUGGAACAAAGAACUUCUUAUAACUGGAGCAGAUGGUGAGCCCCUGUCAGGGCAGGUGUUCCUGCAGAGGCUGGACGACCACAUGUCAGGUGGGACAGAGGGACUGCUUCCCAUGGUGGACUGAGAAUCACAGCUCUAAGAUUCUCUGAUUCUUGGCUUUGCUUUCUGUCUUGAAAAGUAAGUCUGCCUUAGGCAAAUCUGCCAAGGACAGAUUUGUCCUUGAAGUCAGAAGGACCUAGGCUAAAUCUCAGCUCCACCUCUUCGAGCUAUGUAAAUUAGGCAGGUGGCUCUCUGAACCUCCUUCUUCCAGUCUAUAAAAUUAGGUUUAUAAUACCUUGCAGAGUUUUGUGUGUGGGGGUCAAAUGAGUUAAGUCUAGGAGCCAACACCUCAGGAUGUGAGGCGGGGAGAAGCCUUCGGAGCCUCUGAUCAGCUGGCAACCCUGUGGCAUGUGCGCGUGGAUGGUGUGCACAUGGCUUGGGUUUGCAUGCUCUGCACAGGGAGAACAUUCAUUGCUCCAUAGAACACAAAUUCAGGGCAUGUGUCAGCUCACUGGCAGCCUGGGGUAGGCUGGGACACGCUGUCCUGUUUGUGCCUGAGGACUGACACCCACUCAGCAAACAGCCCACCCAGCUUAAGUGUCCCCAAAGAACUCAGUCCUCCUUACAGAGAAAUCCUUUCAGGUGCCGAGAGUGGCAUGUUUCUUGCAGUCUGACCCCUGGAAGAAUUCUGACUGUGUCCCUUUUCCAUGCCAACUCUUUACUAAAGCCGAUUUUGUGAGGAAUUAUUUUUCUAACGUGUUGGAUAAAAUCCUAAAGCGUGUCUCUGAUGGUGUCUUAGGAGGUUCACAGUGUUUUUAUUUUCAUGGGGAGCACUAAGAGGAUACAGACUAGGCUUUUGUUGGGGCAAGCAUAGUCAUUGUAAACUAGAGGCUUUGCUGCCUGCAAAAUCCUUGACACCCCAGGCAAAAUUCUGGCUUCGUGUCACCAUCUAGCAUACCUGAAUCAUUCCAACUUGAAGACAUUUGUCCCUGUUCAGGGUAUCCAUCAUAGUCGUCACAGUUCCAUCUGUGUACACAAUGAAGCUCUGUAUUUACCAGUUAUUUUAUCUGCGUAGCCUCCCUGUGGGCUCUGUAGGGCAGGGUUCUUGGCCGUUUUAUUCAGAUUAAGAGAACAUGGCUCUGCAAGGUGCAAUAGUUUGUCUGAGGUCACCCAACUAAUUAUUAGCAGAGCUGUUUUUCAAAUCCUGGUCUUCUAAGGGGCAGCCUGACAUAAUGUAAACACCAUCCAGCAUUUCUAUCCCACCAAUGGCAUUCAUGAGCUGUGUGACCUUGUGCAAGCUAGUUAUUAUAAGUAGUUAUUGAUAUUAAUAAUUAGAGUAGAAUUUACAAAGCACCUGGCAUGGUAGUAGGUGCUCUACACUGUAUCUCAUUUUCAUUCGCACACUAGACCUAUGAGAGGGGUUUUAUUAUUAUCUGUUUUACAGAUAAGCAUCCUGAAAUUCAGAGUGCUAAAGUAGCUUUCCCUGUCUGAGCCCCAGUUUCUCUAUAAAAGAAGAAUAUUAAUAUCUCCCUGGGUGGGUGAUGAUAAGGGCUGAAUGAGAUAAUGUGUGUAAACUGCCCAGCACAGAGCCUGGAAUAGAGGAGGUGCUCAGUCAGUACUUGUUUCCUUUCCCUAGUUCCUCCUCUGACUUCUAAUAGUGGUCUUUCUACUGCACGCCACUAAAUACAUUUGGAAUCUGAGGUCAUGCCUAAGUCACACUCUUCCCUACUGCCCAGAGGCCACUUCAAGUCUCUCUGUCAGAUCCCGUCUGUUUAGUUUUAUUCCAGUUCAGGAAACAUCAUCCUUCCCUGGCAUGCUGCACCACACCCCUGACAUUUGCCCCAGGGCUGUUUUCUGGACCCCUAAAGCCUACCCUGGCCUCUCUAGCCACAGGGCUUUCUUCUUUCCUAGCUUUCUCUAAGGCAAAUACAUGUUGCUUCCCUUACUUUGACAUUUUACCUGGACUCUUUCCUGUUCUUAUGUUGUGCUUCAUGAGAAGCCACAUAUGGCACCCAGGUCUUCUGACUUCUAGUGUUGUGCAUGCCCUGAAGGUUAUUAUCUUCAUUUAUUUGGUGUUUCUAUCAAGGAAUACCUGGGUAAUUUAUAGAGAAAAGAAGUUUAUUGGCCGGGCACUGUGGCUCACGCCUGUAAUCCCAGCACUUUGGGAGGCUGAGGUGGGUGAAUCACAAGGUCACGAGUUCGAGACCAGCCUGACCAACAUAGUGAAACCCCGUCUCUAUUAAAAAUGCAAAAAUUAGCUGGGCGUGGUAGCAGCACAUGCCUGUGAUCCCAGCUACUCAGGAGGCUGAGGCAGGAGAACCGCUUGAACCCGGGAAGCAGAGGUUGCCGUGAGCCAAGACAGUGCCACUGUACUCCAGCUUGGGCAACAGAGCAAGACUCCAUCUCAAAAAAAAAAAAAAAAAAAAAAAGAGGUUUACUUGGCUUAUAAUUCUGCAGGCUGUAUAAGAAGCAUGGCGCCGGCCUCUGCUUGGUUUCUGGUGAGGGCCUCAGGCUGCUUCCACUCAUGACAGAAGACAAAGGGGAGCCAACAUGUGCAGAGAUCACAUGGUGAGACAGGAAGCAAGAGAGAGGGGAGGUGCCAGGCUCUUUUUAACAAGUAGCUCUCCCAGGAACUAAGAGUGACAACUCACUCCCCACAGAGGGCAUCAAACUAUUUAUUAGGGAUCUGUCCCCCUUUACCCAAACAUUGCACUUCAGGCCUAUACCUCCAAUAUUGGGAUCAAAUUUCAACAUGAGGUUUAGGGGAACUCAUUCAUUUGGCUUUCAAUAAAUAUUCAUUUAUUUAUCACUUACUCAGCCAGACCCUGUGUUAGACAAAAUAGUAAGUGCUAUAGUACUCAAUUAGUAUAGAUCAAAUUAAUACCUAGUUUCAGCUCCUAAACUUGGGGAUUGGGGUAUGGGGUAUGGUAAGGAAGAAGAGAAGGAUAUUACCUGGCAGUGGGUAGACUUGAGAGGUAACAGACCCGACUGCCGGGAUGUACCUCCAUAAAUUUGAGGGAGUAUAGAUAGAGGCUAGUUCUUAUACCUCUAAAAGAUAGCUUGGAGAAGUGAAAAGGGGAGCUAUUUCUAAAUGAUUCAUUCAUUCAGCAGUCUUUUAGCAAGUACCGUAUCUGUGGCUGGUAUUCUGCUGGUGGCGAAUAAGAUAGGGCUCUGUUCUUUUGGAAUCCCCUUCUCUCUGGGGAGGUAAACCUGUAGAUAGGUGAAUCUCAGUGAGUGUUAUAAUGGCAAAGGAGAGUCCAGGGAAGGUCGGAACUUCAAAGGAGGGGACUUACUUUUCAUAGGGGAAGUAAGGGAAAGUUUCAUAGAGAAACUGCACCUCAGAAGGGGAUGAGGCAAGAGAGCAUUCCAGAAAAGUGAAUAACACUUGAAAAGGCCCAGAAUCCUUAAGGAAAGGAGAAUAUUCAAGACACAGAAAACAAGACAGUGUGUUUAGGAGAUAUGCACUGAUGUGUUACAUUAUUGAUUGUACCAUGAAGGUCUUUGUGUGGCAUGUUGAGGGUACUGGACUUAAUCCUUUAGGCAUCAGGAUCCAAUAGAGGUCUUAAAGCUAUAGUCUAGUUGAUGGAAAGCAAAUAGCUGUUCUGUUGAAUACUAACCAAUCAAAUCCCCAUUUUCUACUGAGUCUAGAUGCAGCCUCAGAAAUAUUCUCAUGAAGGAGGCAUGAAAGUAUGAGGCUUUCAAGUAAGCCCAGUCCAGUAGACCUUGAGUGGAUGCCCUUGGCUCAUAUACCUGUAGUGAUCCAGUAAAUGCAAGGCCUUCUUGCCCAGUGGACAUUGGUCCUUUUCUCCAGGAAGCUCUUCUGAACAGAAAGUCUAGCUCUUCUGAAGAGGAUAAAAUGUGCUGGGCUAAGGAAUCAGGAAGUAGCCAUUAGUCUGUAACCUCACUGGUGGCUGUGAUUGUCUUUGCCAGCUCUGUAUCCCUAGAAUCCAGCACAAAACUUGGCACGUGGUAAGUGCUCAGUGAUGUUUGCUGAAUAAAUGAACAAGGAAAAGAAACUAAUCAACUCUCUACCUAACCAGUCAACCAUCCAACCUGGGUUCUAAUUCCAGCUCUUGAAUUUUCAUUCUCUCAGCUGUACAACCACCUGGUUGUUCUCUAAGGCCUUUCACACCCUAGGAUUGUAGGAUGAUGAAUAGUUCAGAGCAAGCCCAGUUAUGAUUUAUAAUUCUAGUAUGCCUCAAAUUUAAUCAGAAUAAAAUAUCAAAAUCAGCACUACUUUACAACAUUUCAGAUACGCCGUCUAAAAACAGAACCUGCGUCUGUCUCAGAGUUGUGAAGAAAAUGUAUUAGGUUAUAUUAAACAGCAAGAUUGUCCUUUUUGUAGGAAAAAAAUAAAUUAAAUCUUAUCUUCCUGACUGGGGAUUUUAAUUGGGAUUUGAGCCAAUUUGAUCUAAAUUUGAGCAUCCAUCCAGAGAACAUUUAUUGACAUCUGCUAUGAGCAAGGUUUUGUGCUAGGCAUGAGGGAGAUAGGAAAAUGAGUAAGAUACAGGUCCUUCCAGGCAGGAAUUGAUGGUGUAGUUAGGGAGAUAAAACAUAUACAUGCUUGACUCUGACCCAGAUGGACAGAGAAUUAGCAGAGACAGUCCAGAUCCAGGGGUAGGAGUGUCAGAGAAGGAAAUCCCUUCCAAGUACACCAUAUAUGUAGGAAGUCUGCCUCUUACCACAACCCUAGAGCUCAGAAUUUAGACUGAGCUAUUGUGGCUAUGAGGAUGUGCUCUGUGGAUUGUGCUCUGUGCCAUGCAACUGCCUGGAGCUUACAGUCAUCCUCAGCCAUCAAGUUGAGCACCUCAGCCCAAACUGGUAUUGGCAAUGAAAAUCAUCUUAGGCUUUAAUGAACAGUGUGCACAUACUACACUGCCAAGCUUGGUAGCAUCUUUUUAUGGCUUGUAUCCUUGGGGUUGAUUUCUAGAAAAAGUUGUUCACUGUAACAGGAAUUUGUAUUUCUUGUUUUAUAAGACUGGAAACUAUUAAUAAUAUUGUCCAAUGUGUGCCCUUUUCUGCCUUGGCUGCCACUGAAAUUCAGGACCUAACUAAAAUGGGAUCAUCCACUUUCCAACAUUUAUCCAACAAUUAUUUGUCAAGUGAUUCUCUGCGCAAGGCCCUGUGCUAAAUGGGUAGGAGACACACACAGGCUGUGCUCUCAAGGAGCUGACAAAAGAUGUGUGAACCAGGUUGAGGGGAACCGAAAUACCAGCUGAGAGAAGUACUAGAGGGAUCAGAGCAGAAAAAGUUUGUUUUUAGCCUAUGGGCACAAAGAAAAAAACGUAAAGGAGAUCCGUGUGAUUUGGACCUCAAAAAGGUAGGAAUCAUACACAUUGAAAUAGGUGUAGUAGGAUUUCUAAAAUAAAAUAAUGACAAAAGUAUUGAGGAAGCAAAAAACUUCAGGCUUGUUUAGGAAAGUAGGAAUACUUCAGUUUGGCUAAGGGGAAUAGGCUUAAAAAAGGUUAGGAUCAGAUCAUCACAGAGGGCCUCCUCCUCAGAUGUUCCAAGGUAAGGCAUUUAUAUAUCUAAUUCUAUGGGCAAUAAGAUGCCUGCUUAAAAACUUAAUAAGUUUAAUAAGUUUUUAAGCAGGUGUGAGUUGGAAAAAUCCUAGAGUUGGAAAGGAUUUUGUAUAUAACCCAGUUCAGCACUCCAUCUGUAUUAGUCCGUUUUCACACUGCUGAUAAAGAUAUACCCGAGACUGAGCAAUUUACAAAAGAAGGAGGUUUAGUUGGACUUAACAGUUUCAUGUGACUGAGGAAGCCUCACAGUCAUGACGGAAGGCAAGGAGGAGCAUCUCACAUCUUACGUGGAUGGUAGACAGGCAAAAAAAGAGAGAGCUUGCCUAUGAGUCUGUAAAAUCAAAAGCAAAUUAGUUACUUCCUAGAUACAAUGGGGUUACAAGCAUUGGGUAAAUACAGUCAUUCCAAAUGGGAGAAAUUGGCCAAAACAAAGGGCUACAGGCCCCAUACAAGUCCAAAAUCCAGUGGGGCAGUCAAAUCUUAAAGCUCCAAAAUGAUCUCCUUUGAGGCUGUGUCUCACAUCCAGGUCACACUGACAUAAGAGGUAGGUUCCCAUAGUCCUGAGCAGCUCCAACCCUGUGGCUUUGCAGGGUACCGUCUCCCUUUUGGCUAUUUUCAUGGGCUGGGGUUGAGUGUCUGUAGCUUUUCCAAGCACACAGUGCAAGCUGUCAUUGGAUCCACCAUUCUGGGGUCUGGAGGAUGGUGGCCAUCUUCUCACAGCUCCACUAGGCAGUGCCCCAGUAGGGACUCUGUGUGGGGGAUCCCACCCCACAUUUUCCUUCUGCACUGCCCUAGCAGAGUUUCUCCAUGAGGACCCCACCCCUACAGCAAACUUCUGCCUGGGCAUCCAGGCUUUUCUAUACACUUCUGAAACCUAGGCAGAGGUUCCCAAACCCCCGUUCUUGACUUCUGUGCACUUGCAGGCUCAACACCAUGUGGAAGCUGCCAAGGCUUGAGGUUUGCACCCUCUGAAGCCACAGCCCAAGCUCUACUUUGGCCCCUUUCAGCCAGUGCUGACAUAGAGCACCAAGUCCCUAGGCGGCACACAGCACAGGGACCCUGCUCCCAGCCCACAAAGUAAUAUUUUCUUCCUAGGCCUCCAGGCCUAUGAUGGAAGGGGCUGCUCUGACAUGCCCUGGAGAC